AUAUAAUAUUAUCGCCUAAAAGCAUGUAUGUAUAUAUACAAUGGAAAUGCUCGCUGCAGCUAUAGCCCCUGUUAAGCUCUGCACGAUCAUAAACAGGUAACAGGCCGCCAUAAUAAAUAUGGCCUUAAAUCCUUUGCAACAAGCCCAGGCGAGUGGCCAAUGUGAAUUCUGAAAGCGCUGACCAUAUAUCAUCAUAAAAAUAAACCAGACAUCGGAGCUAGAGGUAGGCGAAGCGGGGCAGACGCGUUCCAGCUAUAAAGCAUUAGUCAAAAAACAUUAAACAUGAAAAGGUGGGCAACAACUGUGCUUGGGUUUGGGUCCAGGUUCGUGCUGGUGUUGGUGUUGUUGUCGCUGCUCCCAGGACUACAAUCAACAUCAUUAACGCGUGCUUUAAAAGCCAUUUAUUUAGACGCAGACAUGAGAAGCCAUGUUCAUGGCAGUUGCUGUUCGAGUAUGGGAAAACUAUAAAUUUAACGCUUUUAGCAUAAUUGCAGGAGGAGCAUAAGCAGCAGCAGGAGAAGGAGUAGGAGGAACGACGGCAGCAGGAGGAGCAGCGUGUGCGUGCGGAACUUAGUGUGGAUAGCCAUCAACGCAUAAGCGUUAUGAUAAGUGGCUAGGCAAAAGGAUAUCAGCGUCAACACGCACUAAGUUAUUGCCCUAUUGGUACAUCCUAUCGUCCUGCCCAGCCAUCCAUCCAUCCAGGAUGGAGCUAUUAGCUGUAAGUGGAGCUAUCCGGCUCUGGCAUCAUAUUACUUGGCCAUCUAAUUGCCGGCCGCUUUUGACCUUCAUCAAAGCCAGGCUGCAACUUAAUAUGCCACAUGGAUGCGCAACCCUUCUCCUUUGGCUGGGCAAACACUUGACAGUCCGGCCAUAAGUUACAUAAGGAGGAGAGCUGCCUAUCGAUUUCUGGCCAACUUAAGCAGAGUCUUUCCUAACCAUAUUUAUCGCCUGUCUAAUGGAUACAAAUUGGGUCAGCUGGCUCAGAUUUUGUUCAAGUAGAGCUCUCAGAAUUGUUAUGCGUCUGCCUUUUUUAUGGCACAAUGCACAAUGCACGAACGCAAUGGGGCGUAUGCGUAAUUUAUGCCUUUCGGCCACGUUUUAAUUGCUGCAGCUAUUCGUGUAAAGGCCAUUUAUAGCCCAGAAAGUCAAGUCAAACAAACAAAAUUCCUUCAGGGCCAAAAACCAAUUUUACCUGUCAUCCAGGCAUGCACUAGCAAUGUUUUCUGCUAAAAUUAACUCAUUUACGUCAAUGAUUAUUUACAUUAAGGCACAUCAAAUUGAAAUACAUCUCGAACUUAUUGCAUUUACUUUAAGGACUUGUGGUGGAUUUCAAGAGGAUACUCAAGUGGAAGCUUUAAAUAAUCGCCAACUACUCGUUGCCAACUUUACUCUUAUCAAAAAAGAAAACAAUUGAAAAGUGUCAACUGCAGCAACAGCCACUACAGCAACAAUGAGAGGGCAACACAAACACAUGAAGUAUAAAAGAAAUCUGAUGCAGUGACAGGGCACAAACGGAACUCUUGUCUCUCGGAAUGUAAUUGUAAUUGAAAGUGAAAGUGAGCUAACAAAUUGGAUUAACUGAACGUGAGAGCUGCAAAAAGGACAUUCACAAAGCACAGAUCGGAGAUCAACUCAGAGUCCUCAAUUGAAAUGGAUGCCUUACUCAUAUCUUUCACUUUUAAAGCCAGCUAAAUGCACAGCAACAACAACAACAACAACAACAACGACAACGACAACAAUAGCAACAGCAGCAUUGGCAGUAUAGAAUCUUUCGCUUACCUUGGCGGCUAAACAAAGCUAGUCAUAAGGCUAACACGCACACGCACACAUACACAUACACAUACACACAACGCACUGACAACGUCUGUGUCACUUUUCUGGCCAAGCUGUGCAGAGCUCUGGCUCAAAAGUCAACAGCUAACAGCACUAGCAAUUAGUCGGAAUAGCGAGCGACACGACUAGGCAAUGCCCUAUAUAUUGAAUGACUCGUAUUUUGAAGUAUUUAAUACUUGAAAUAUGGAGUGGCGAUAGAGCUUGAAUAAAUAUUUUAUCAAAUUGA